rnacentral:misc_RNA from 1 species
GUAGGUGAACCUGCGGAAGGAUCAUUAAAUUCAGUAGCUUGCUACUGGUCGGGAGUCGCUGUAAGCCCGCAUAGUUUAAUUACUGAUGAGCGGCAGGCACUCUGUCUGCACCCUUGUCUUUUGCGCACUCAUGUUUCCUCGGUGGGCUUGCCUGCCGAUUGGACAAAACUAUAACCUUUUUAAUUUUCAAUCAGCGUCUGAAAAUUUUUAAUAAUUACAACUUUCAACAACGGAUCUCUUGGUUCUG